UAUAAGCACCAGCAAUAGCAUUAAGAACACUAAGUCCACCAACAGUGAAGGUCACAACACAAGCUCCAACACCGCGAGCUCUAGCAUAUCCAUCAGCAGCAUAUCCAGCAUUAAGCUCAUUACAACACCCAACAAAAUUAAGCGCAGGUUCAUCAAUUAAGUGAUCCAGCAAUGUCAGGUUGAAAUCACCAGGAACGCCAAAAACAUCGGUGACCCCAACUUGGACUAAACGGCGUGCUAAGUGACGACCCAGUGUGGAUUCCGGCGAGUUGAACGGAACGGCUGGAUUGUGAAUGGUUACGGCGUUAACCGUCGGUAAACAGCCCACGUCGGUGUGCGGUGGUUUACACGUGUCAAUUGCUCCGAUCUUCACGUCCAUGAUGAAAUUGAAUGUGUGCCGUAUGUG
rnacentral:misc_RNA from 1 species